CAUAUCACCCUAAACGCACCCAAUCUCGUCUGAUCUCGGAAGCUAAGCAGGGUCGGGCCUGGUUAGUACUUGGAUGGGAGAUUUCAGGU
rnacentral:rRNA from 1 species